UUUAGGGCUAGCCUCGGAAUGUAGCGUGUUGGAGGUAGAGCACUGUUUUGGUGCGGGGCCCAUCUCGGGUUACUAAACUAAGAUAAACUCCGAAUGCCAAUCACGUAUGUCCGGGAGUCAGACAGUGAGUGAUAAGAUCCAUUGUCGAAAGGGGAACAGCCCAGAUCGUCAGUUAAGGUCCCUAAGUGUGUGUUAAGUGGAAAAGGAUGUGAAGUUGCAUAGACAACUAGGAUGUUGGCUUAG
rnacentral:rRNA from 1 species